rnacentral:tRNA from 1 species
UGGGCUUGUGGCGCAGCUGGUAGCGCACCGGUUCGGCAGACCGGGGGUCGGCGGUUCGAAUCCGCCCAGGUCCACCC